rnacentral:rRNA from 1 species
CCUACGGGAGGCAGCAGUAGGGAAUAUUGCUCAAUGGGGGAAACCCUGAAGCAGCAACGCCGCGUGGAGGAUGAAGGUUUUCGGAUUGUAAACUCCUUUUGUUAGAGAAGAUAAUGACGGUAUCUAACGAAUCAGCACCGGCUAACUCCGUCCCAGCAGCCGCGGUCAUACGGAGGGUGCAAGCGUUACGCGGAAUCACUGGGCGUAAAGAGCGCGUAGGCGGGAUAGCAAGUCAGAUGUGAAAUCCUAUGGCUUAACCAUAGAACUGCAUUUGAAACUGUUAUUCUAGAGUAUGGGAGAGGUAGGUGGAAUUCUUGGUGUAGGGGUAAAAUCCGUAGAGAUCAAGAGGAAUACUCAUUGCGAAGGCGACCUGCUAGAACAUAACUGACGCUGAUGCGCGAAAGCGUGGGGAGCAAACAGGAUUAGAUACCCCUGUAGUC